UACGUAGGGGGCAAGCGUUGUCCGGAUUUAUUGGGCGUAAAGAGCGUGUAGGCGGCCAGGUAGGUCAGCUGUGAAAACUCGAGGCUCAACCUCGAGACGUCGGUUGAAACCAUCUGGCUAGAGUCCGGAAGAGGAGAGUGGAAUUCCUGGUGUAGCGGUGAAAUGCGCAGAUAUCAGGAGGAACACCGAUGGCGAAGGCAGGUCUCUGGGCCACUACUGACGCUGAGAAGCGAAAGCAUGGGGAGCGAACAGG
rnacentral:rRNA from 1 species